rnacentral:tRNA from 2 species
GGUCGAGUAGCUCAGUCGGCAGAGCGUCCGCCUGAAAAGCGGAAGGUCCCCGGAUCGACGCCGGGCUCGACCACCA